AUUGCGGCUUCGUUAAAUAAAAUGUAUACAAUACAAAUACAUCCCAAACCAAUUCCACCAUCCCACCAUUGUGAGACACGAUGAUGAUGAUGAUGAUGAUGAUGAAGUGGAUAACGAUUCUAGCAUAUCUGCAAUAACAAAAUGUAAGAAAAAAGAAAAAUCGCAUGAACUUAAAUCAAGUUCUGGUUUUGAUGAAUCAAUCUAAUCUCAAAGACGAUCUACUGUAAAUCUAUCUACGUCAAGUGUAAGAUCAAUCCGAAUCGAUUUAGCAUCGCCGCGUCCGAAGAAAAAUAAACAGGCUGUAACACCAGUAUGUUCUCCAAAAAUAUCUUCAGUUAUCUCAGUUUAACUAAGGCUAAAAAGGAAAGUAUAAUAAAUAAGUACAUGCAAAUCGAUUUUUUAAUUAUUUUAAUAAAAAUAAUGAUAAAAUACCUUUUGCAGUGUAUCUAUUUUCUUAACUGCACCAAAUGGUAAAGACAGUUAAAAAAUGGACUUUAUUAGAAUUUUAAUUUAAUUUGACUUACUUAAUUAUUUUUGACCCUAAGUUUUUAUCUCACAGUAUUAUCGUGUUCAUUGAUAAUUAGUUUUAAAAAAUAUUUAUUUAGAUGAAAAUUAUAAAUACGUAAAGUAACAGUUAGAUGGUUGAUGGUACUAUAUUACAACAUAGUAUCUUUAUAUAUAUAUAUAUAUCACAUUUAAAAGAUUAAACAGAAAUUAAUGUAAUUAAUUACAUUAAAAUGUUUUACAGUUUUCUCCUAUUACUGUAAAAUAAGUUCAUACAUUUAUGUAUGCUAGCUGAACUAUAAUGGUAAUUAGGACACUGUAUUUUAUUAUGCAUUUGUAUACAACAGAUACACUGUAUGACACUAUUACUCUGUGAGAAAGACUAGUGUAAAAAUCUUGUAUAUUAACAGAUGUUUGACACGUGUAUCACUAAUAUCGAAACAGAUUUGUAAAAUUUAGUUAUCGUUAUACCAAAUCACGACUAAUGCUACGUUUAAACGUCAUAGAACGUACUUCGGUUCCAGGCUUUCCUGAUUUACAAGAAUUAGAAGCAUUAGGAUUAGGAGUAGGACUUUGAGAAAGAGAUGCUCGUUCAUCGUUAGUACUAGAUUUUUCACGUUCUAAUCUUUGUUUACUAAAUUUUCCCAUUCCUGGGCGAUAAAUUUCCAUGGCAGGACGAUCCUGUUAACAUUUCUUUUUUUUAUUAAAAAUAUUCUAGAAAUGAAAUUUUUGUAAUACGGUAAUAAUAAUAAAAAUAUACCUUAUUUCGAAUCCUACGUUCUAAUCGAGGAUCUUUCUUGUCUUUUUCUUUUUCUUCGAUUUCAGUCUUUUGUAAAUUAUUUUGAUCCCCACCAUCUAAAGACUUGUGUCGCCUUAAAUAAUUCCCAUCUCCUGUACCACCUUCUCCCCCACUUUCAAGUGAACUACGCCUCUUUGUAACUUUCGAAUCUUUCUUUUCCUGAGAAUCAUCAUUCUCGUUACUAUCUUUAUUAAUAUUUUCAUUAGAUUUUGAUUUUUCAAUAUCUUUAUUACUUUCAUCUAUCGUUGAUGUAGUUUCUGUAAAUAAUUUAAUAAACAUUAUUAUAAAGAGUCGACAAAUAAUUAUCAAUAUCUCUGUUUGAUACCUGUUUUCUUCUGCUCUUUCAUUUGUUCAAUAUCUUGGAUAGAAUUUUCUAGUAAAAGCUUGUUUUCAUUAUUUUCCUGUUUCUCUCUGAUUUUAGUGACUUCAGUAUCACUUACGGAUCCCCCUCUGUCUUUAUUUUCAUGUAAAUCAACUUGGGACUCUUUUCUUGGAAAAUCUUCGUCUUCAAUUCUUGACUUUAUGCUACUUUCCAUAUCAACA